GAUGAACGCUGGCGGCGUGCUUAACACAUGCAAGUCGGACGGAAAGGCUCCUGCUUGCCGGGGUACUCGAGUGGCGAACGGGUGAGUAACACGUGGGUGAUCUGCCCUUCACUUCGGGAUAAGCCUGGGAAACUGGGUCUCAUACCGGAUAGGACCACAUUUUGGAUGGUGUGGUGGAAAGUUUUGCGGUGUGGGAUGGGCUCGCGGCCUAUCAGCUUGUUGGUGGGGUAAUGGCAUACCAAGGCGUAGACGGAUAGACGGCCUGAGAGGGGGUACGGCCACAAUGGGACUGAGAGACGGAGCAGAAUGCUACGGGAGGCAGCAGUCGAAAGUAUGACACAAUGAGGGCAAGCGUGAGGCAGAGGUGUUGGGUGGGUGAUGACGGGCUACGAGUUGUGAACAUAUUUCGCAAGGGACGAAGAGAAAGUGACGGUACCUGGAGAAGAAGCACCGGCUAACUACGUG
rnacentral:rRNA from 1 species